GGGUUGUGAGGUUAAGCGACUAAGCGUACACGGUGGAUGCCUAGGCAGUCAGAGGCGAUGAAGGGCGUGCUAAUCUGCGAAAAGCGUCGGCAAGGUGAUAUGAACCGUUAUACCCGACGAUACCCGAAUGGGGAAACCCAGUGUGUUUCGACACACUAUCAUGUCAUGAAUCCAUAGUGACAUGAGGCGAACCGGGGGAACUGAAACAUCUCAGUACCCCGAGGAAAAGAAAUCAACCGAGAUUCCCCCAGUAGCGGCGAGCGAACGGGGAAGAGCCCAGAACCAGAAUCAGUUUGUGCAUCAGUGGAAGCGUCUGGAAAGUCGCACGGUACAGGGUGAUAGUCCCGUACACAAAGAUGCGCUUGCUGUGAGUUCGACGAGUAGGGCGGGACACGAGAUAUCCUGUCUGAAGAUGGGGGGACCAUCCUCCAAGGCUAAAUACUCCUGACUGACCGAUAGUGAACCAGUACCGUGAGGGAAAGGCGAAAAGAACCCCGGCGAGGGGAGUGAAACAGAACCUGAAACCGUGUACGUACAAGCAGUGGGAGCCCCACCACCAAAGCAUUCUCUGGUGAUGAAGGCAGCGCAACAGCAGCAUCGCGGUGGCGGCGCGUCUUUUGCGACGCCCAACACACAAGACAAGCGGUGAGUGCUUUGGGGUGGGGUGACUGCGUACCUUUUGUAUAAUGGGUCAGCGACUUAUAUUUUGUAGCAAGGUUAACCGAAUAGGGGAGCCGCAGGGAAACCGAGUCUUAACUGGGCGUCAAGUUGCAAGGUAUAGACCCGAAACCCGGUGAUCUAGCCAUGGGCAGGUUGAAGGUUGGGUAACACUAACUGGAGGACCGAACCGACUAAUGUUGAAAAAUUAGCGGAUGACUUGUGGCUGGGGGUGAAAGGCCAAUCAAACCGGGAGAUAGCUGGUUCUCCCCGAAAGCUAUUUAGGUAGCGCCUCGUGAAGUCAUCUUCGGGGGUAGAGCACUGUUUCGACUAGGGGGCCAUCCCGGCUUACCAACUCGAUGCAAACUGCGAAUACCGAAGAAUGUUAUCACGGGAGACACACGGCGGGUGCUAACGUCCGUCGUGAAGAGGGAAACAACCCAGACCGCCAGCUAAGGUCCCAAAGUCAUGGUUAAGUGGGAAACGAUGUGGGAAGGCCCAGACAGCCAGGAUGUUGGCUUAGAAGCAGCCAUCAUUUAAAGAAAGCGUAAUAGCUCACUGGUCGAGUCGGCCUGCGCGGAAGAUGUAACGGGGCUAAACCAUGCACCGAAGCUGCGGCAGCGACGCUUAGGCGUUGUUGGGUAGGGGAGCGUUCUGUAAGCCGUUGAAGGUGGUCUGUGAGGAUUGCUGGAGGUAUCAGAAGUGCGAAUGCUGACAUAAGUAACGAUAAUGCGGGUGAAAAACCCGCACGCCGGAAGACCAAGGGUUCCUGUCCAACGUUAAUCGGGGCAGGGUGAGUCGACCCCUAAGGCGAGGCCGAAAGGCGUAGUCGAUGGGAAACAGGUUAAUAUUCCUGUACUGGGUGUUACUGCGAAGGGGGGACGGAGAAGGCUAUGUUGGCCGGGCGACGGUUGUCCCGGUUUAAGCGUGUAGGUGGGUGCUCCAGGCAAAUCCGGAGUGCUGUCAACACCGAGGCGUGAUGACGAGGCACUACGGUGUCGAAGUGACAAAUGCCACGCUUCCAGGAAAAGCCCCUAAGCAUCAGGUAACAUCGAAUCGUACCCCAAACCGACACAGGUGGUCAGGUAGAGAAUACUCAGGCGCUUGAGAGAACUCGGGUGAAGGAACUAGGCAAAAUGGUGCCGUAACUUCGGGAGAAGGCACGCUGUGCGAGGUGAAGUCCCUGGCGGAUGGAGCGUUGCGCAGUCGCAGAUACCAGCUGGCUGCAACUGUUUACUAAAAACACAGCACUGUGCAAACACGAAAGUGGACGUAUACGGUGUGACGCCUGCCCGGUGCCGGAAGGUUAAUUGAUGGGGUAAGCCGCAAGGCGAAGCUCUUGAUCGAAGCCCCGGUAAACGGCGGCCGUAACUAUAACGGUCCUAAGGUAGCGAAAUUCCUUGUCGGGUAAGUUCCGACCUGCACGAAUGGCGUAAUGAUGGCCAGGCUGUCUCCACCCGAGACUCAGUGAAAUUGAACUCGCUGUGAAGAUGCAGUGUACCCGCGGCAAGACGGAAAGACCCCGUGAACCUUUACUAUAGCUUGACACUGAACCUUGAGCCUUGAUGUGUAGGAUAGGUGGGAGGCUUUGAAGCGUGGACGCCAGUCUGCGUGGAGCCAACCUUGAAAUACCACCCUUUGAUGUUUGAUGUUCUAACGUGGGCCCGUAAACCGGGUUGCGGACAGUGUCUGGUGGGUAGUUUGACUGGGGCGGUCUCCUCCCAAAGAGUAACGGAGGAGUACGAAGGUUAGCUAAUCCUGGUCGGACAUCAGGAGGUUAGUGCAAAGGCAUAAGCUAGCUUGACUGCGAGAGUGACGGCUCGAGCAGGUGCGAAAGCAGGUCUUAGUGAUCCGGUGGUUCUGAAUGGAAGGGCCAUCGCUCAACGGAUAAAAGGUACUCCGGGGAUAACAGGCUGAUACCGCCCAAGAGUUCAUAUCGACGGCGGUGUUUGGCACCUCGAUGUCGGCUCAUCACAUCCUGGGGCUGAAGUAGGUCCCAAGGGUAUGGCUGUUCGCCAUUUAAAGUGGUACGCGAGCUGGGUUUAGAACGUCGUGAGACAGUUCGGUCCCUAUCUGCCGUGGGCGUUGGAAGAUUGAGGGGGGUUGCUCCUAGUACGAGAGGACCGGAGUGAACGCACCACUGGUGUACGGGUUGUGAUGCCAAUUGCAUUGCCCGGUAGCUACGUGCGGAAGAGAUAACCGCUGAAAGCAUCUAAGCGGGAAACUUGCCCCGAGAUGAGUCUUCCCUGGGCCUUAAAGGCCCCUGAAGGGACGUUUAAGACGAAGACGUUGAUAGGCUGGGUGUGUAAGCGCAGCGAUGCGUUGAGCUGACCAGUACUAAUGACCCGAGAGGCUUAACCUUACAACACCGAAGGUGUUU
rnacentral:rRNA from 1 species